AGGGUUUGAUCAUGGCUCAGAACGUACGCUGGCGGCACGCCUAACACAUGCAAGUCGAACGCAGUAGCAAUACUGAGUGGCAGACGGGUGAGUAACAUGUGGGAAUCUGCCUUGUGGUUCAGGAUAACACUGGGAAACCGAUGCUAAUACUGGAUAAGCCCUUACGGGGAAAGUUUUAAUGCCAUAAGAUGAGCCCGCAUUUGAUUAGUUAGUUGGUGAGGUAAUGGCUCACCAAGACAAUGAUCAAUAGCUGAUCUGAGAGGAUGAUCAGCCACACUGGGACUGAGACACGGCCCAGACUCCUACGGGAGGCAGCAGUGGGGAAUCUUGCACAAUGGAGGAAACUCUGAUGCAGCGAUGCCGCGUGAGUGAAGAAGGCCUUUGGGUUGUAAAGCUCUUUUGUAGGGGAAGAUAAUGACUGUACCCUAAGAAUAAGGUCCGGCUAACUUCGUGCCAGCAGCCGCGGUAAUUC
rnacentral:rRNA from 1 species